CAGCCGCCGCGGGAAAACCGAGGGUGCAAGCGUUAAUCGGAAUUACUGGGCGUAAAGCGCGCGUAGGUGGUUUGUUAAGUUGGAUGUGAAAGCCCCGGGCUCAACCUGGGAACUGCAUCCAAAACUGGCAAGCUAGAGUACGGUAGAGGGUGGUGGAAUUUCCUGUGUAGCGGUGAAAUGCGUAGAUAUAGGAAGGAACACCAGUGGCGAAGGCGACCACCUGGACUGAUACUGACACUGAGGUGCGAAAGCGUGGGGAGCAAACAGGAUUAGAUACCCCCGUAGUCCCUGUCUUUUAUAC
rnacentral:rRNA from 1 species